rnacentral:lncRNA from 1 species
CGAACAAAACAGGGGUCCGGAGGGGAGGGCCCCUGCUCCGCCGGACUCCUUUCGUUGUGUUAUAAGUCCCUUGGAUACUAACAGCUGAUAAUUACUUGCUUAGCAUUGACUGAUUUAGAUUGUUAGAGAUUAGAAUUCUUUAUGCAGCCGGUAGAUUGUUAUUUGUGAAAACCAGCUGGCCACCUAUUUAACUCCAAUUUGAUUUCAAAUCAAACUCUUUAAGUGGAAAAUUAUUUACGCCUCAAUUUGAGUUCAAAUAAAACUCUUUAAAAGGAAAAUAAAUCAAGAUCCUUGAUGCAUCUAUAAUUCCUUUUUUAGCAUUCGAAAAUCAGUGAAGUGAAUCCUGACUGUGAUUUAGGAAUCUUCAUCUGUAGAAAAGGCCAAAUGUGAAAAAAAGAAGGCACUUGGGUUCUGAUCCACUCUCAUGAGGAAACAAGGAUGUGCGUCUUCCCUGUUUUUCUGUGUACGAACAGUGCCCCAGACCAUUAUACUAAUGGAUCUGACAAUGCCGUGGAUAGGAUGAUCCAAGAUUUGGAUUGCAUGAUCCAAUUUUGGAUUGUCUGUUCUUUCCUGAUUUUGACCCAAUUGUCUGCUCUUGAUCGGUUUUAUAUUUUUUGAUCCGAAUCAUACAAUCUGGAUAGUGAAUCGGAAAACCUUAACAAAGUUUCACCCUGGUGCAUGAGAACACAAUCUGAUUGUCGCAAUAUGAAACUAUUUGGGCUUAAUUUGACAGAAACUUUCACUCUAAUGGUGAUGGAAGGAUCUAUAUCACUUUCUUGCUUGUUGAAUUAGUGCAUUUAUCCAGUCUAGGCGUUGAAGAUUGUGUUAAUAUGGAACAAAGAUGGAAAACAUGUAUUGCAGUGUCAAGGAAUACAUAUUGCAUCUUUUAACAACAUUUAUGCUGCAAAAAUGAAUUCGAGCAGGCCUUAAGCAUAUAUGAUCAACCAUGGAAAUGGUGCCAAGAUGUUGUAAGCAUUAUGAUACUGCUAGUUUUUCAGAAAAUGCCUCUAUGAUACUUCUAGUUUUUCAGAAAAUGCCUCUAUGAUACUUCUAGUUUUUCAGAAAAUGCCUCUAUGAUACUUGUAAAGCCCCUCAUACCAUCUCUUUAUCAUAUUGUAUGGCAUUGAAAUUUCAAAUCAAACUAAUCUUGUGGAAGUUAUAGACUUAACAAACAUAAUCCUUUCUGAUAUAGGCAAUUUAAUUUAUAGUGCUUUUAUGUUAAGUCAUUUUU